rnacentral:rRNA from 1 species
CUCACAUGGGAGCUUGCUCCCUGAUGUUGACGACGGGCGGAUGGGUGAGUAAUGGGUGACCUGCUGCCUGAAGGGGGGGGAUAACUACUGAAAACGGCUAAUAACACCGGCUUGUUUGAACCGAAUGGUUCAAGGGACCUUCGGGGCUCUUGCCAUCACAUGUGCCCGGAUGGGAUUAGCUAGUAGGUGGGGUAAUGGCUCACCUAGGCCACGAUCCCUAUCUGGUCUGAAACGAUGACCAGCCUCACUGGCACUGAGACUGAGUCCCGACUCCUACUCCAGGCGGAGGUGGGGAAUAUUGAUCUUCCGGCGCGAGCCUGAUGCUGCCAUGCCACCUGCGCGAGGAAGGUCUUCGGGUUGUAAUCCACUUUCUCUGUUGAUGAAGGAGAACAAGUGAAUAUCCUCUUCGGUUGACCUUACUCGCAAAAUAGACCACCGGCUAACUCCUUGCCACCUGCCGCCGGGUUAAUACGGAAUGGUCGCAAGUGUUAAUCGUAAUUACUGGCUUAUAGAGCGCAGCACGGGUCGUAUGUUAAGUUCUUAAGUGAAAUCCCCAGGCUCUCACCGUGGAAACUGCAUUGUGAAACUGGGCAACUGGGGAACUUGUAGAGGGGGGAAGAAUUCCAGGUGCCACGUGUGAAAUGUGUAGAGAUCUGAAAUAAUACCAGAACGCCAAUGCCGACCCCUGCACUAUGAACUUGACACUUGAGUGUGAAAGCGUUGAGGAGCCAACAGGAUUUAGAUACCUUGGUAGCUCCACGCGUCUACACGAUGAGUGAUAAUGAGAGGUUGUGCCUUUGAGCCGUGACUUCCUGCAGCUAACGCAUUAAGCACUACCGCCUGGGGAGUACGGCCGCAAGGUUAAAACUCAAAUGAAUUGACGGGGGCCCGCACAAGCCCGGUGGAGCAUGUGGUUUAAUUCGAAGCAACGCGAAGAACCUUACCUAGUCUUGACAUCCUGAGACAUUCCACAGACGAUAGGUUUUUCCCUUCGGGAACUGAGAGACAGGUGGUGCAUGGUUGUCGUCAGCUCGUGUUGUGAAAUGUUGGGUUAAGUCCCGCAACGAGCGCAACCCUUAUUCUUAGUUGCCAGCGGUUAGUCGGGCAAUUUAAAGGAGACUCCCAGUGAUAACCGGGAGGAAGGGGGGAAGGCGGCCAAUUCUCCAUGCCCCUUUGGCGUAGGCCUCCCCCCGUGUUCCAAUGACAUAACCAAAGGCAAGCGGCCUCGGAAGAUCAACCAAUCCUCAUAAAGUGUUUCGUAUUCGGGAUUGGGUUUGCAACUUGGAUUCGUGAAAGUCGGAAUCGCUAGUAAUCGGAUCAGCAACCGCCGGUGAACGUUCCCGGGGCUUGUGCACACACCCCGUGUCACCCCAAGAGUUGUAACACCCGGAGUCGGGUAGGUUCCUUC